UGGGGAAUCUUGGACAAUGGGCGCAAGCCUGAUCCAGCCAUGCCGCGUGAGUGACGAAGGUCUUCGGAUUGUAAAGCUCUUUUGGCGGGGACGAUAAUGACGGUACCCGCAGAAUAAGCCCCGGCUAACUUCGUGCCAGCAGCCGCGGUAAUACGAAGGGGGCUAGCGUUGUUUGGAAUUACUGGGCGUAAAGCGCACGUAGGCGGAUCUAUAAGUCAGGGGUGAAAUCCCGGGGCUCAACCUCGGAACUGCCUUUGAUACUGUAGAUCUCGAGUCCGGAAGAGGUGAGUGGAAUUCCUAGUGUAGAGGUGAAAUUCGUAGAUAUUAGGAAGAACACCAGUGGCGAAGGCGGCUCACUGGUCCGGUACUGACGCUGAGGUGCGAAAGCGUGGGGAGCAAACAGGAUUAGAUACCCCCGUAGUCCCUGAGCGGGCUGGCAAGGCGCAU
rnacentral:rRNA from 1 species